UACAGAGGGUGCGAGCGUUAAUCGGAAUUACUGGGCGUAAAGCGUGCGUAGACGGUUAUUUAAGUCGGGUGUGAAAGCCCCGGGCUCAACCUGGGAAUUGCAUUCGAGACUGAAUAGCUAGGGUACGGUAGAGGGAAGCGGAAUUUCCGGUGUAGCGGUGAAAUGCGUAGAUAUCGGAAGGAACAUCAGUGGCGAAAAGCGGCUUCCU
rnacentral:rRNA from 1 species